AGGGACGUGGUGUUGGGUUGGCUUCUGUCGGUGUGGCUGCCCAUACUCACUGAUAACAAUAGAUUCAUUAUUGCAUUUCCCUGGGAGGAACAAGUCAUCAUUUGCUGGGACAAGCCUGACCCACUGGAAGAAUGGCUAAAUGUGUGUGUCAGAAAAAUUAGGUGACUAAUGAUGAUUUUCUCUACCAAAGGAGGAAAGCAAUCAUAUGGCCAAAUGCAGGAUGGCUGGGGAGAGUGAAGAUGAGUGAAAUGGAAAUUCCCAGAGCUGUGGAGAAAACAGAACUCAAACAGGGACAAAUCUUCAAAUUCUUUGCCUUAAAACACAAUGAAGGCAAUGGAGAAUUUCAAAUGCAGAAAGAUUCAGACAUGGGGAUUCAAUGCCUGGUUCAUAAAGGU